CGCCGCGUGAGGGACGACGGCCCCGGGUUGUAAACCUCUUUUAGUAGGGAAGAAGCGAAAGUGACGGUACCUGCAGAAAAAGCACCGGCUAACUACGUGCCAGCAGCCGCGGUAAUACGUAGGGUGCAAGCGUUGUCCGGAAUUAUUGGGCGUAAAGAGCUCGUAGGCGGUUUGUCGCGUCUGCUGUGAAAACUGGAGGCUCAACCUCCAGCCUGCAGUGGGUACGGGCAAACUAGAGUGCGGUAGGGGAGAUUGGAAUUCCUGGUGUAGCGGUGGAAUGCGCAGAUAUCAGGAGGAACACCGAUGGCGAAGGCAGAUCUCUGGGCCGUAACUGACGCUGAGGAGCGAAAGCGUGGGGAGCGAACAGGAUUAGAUACCCUGGUAGUCCACGCCGUAAACGUUGGGAACUAGAUGUGGGGGCCAUUCCACGGCUUCCGUGUCGCAGCUAACGCAUUAAGUUCCCCGCCUGGGGAGUACGGCCGCAAGGCUAAAACUCAAAGGAAUUGACGGGGGCCCGCACAAGCGGCGGAGCAUGCGGAUUAAUUCGAUGCAACGCGAAGAACCUUACCAAGGCUUGACAUAUACGAGAACGCUGCAGAAAUGUAGAACUCUUUGGAC
rnacentral:rRNA from 1 species